rnacentral:rRNA from 1 species
AGCAGUGUUUAUACCAAGCACUUUGAGAACACCUGAUUUUGUUUGAUCUCAGACGCUAAGCAGGCCUAAGCUGGGUCAGUACUUGGAUGGGAGACUGCUCGGAAUGCCAGCUGCCACAGGGA